rnacentral:lncRNA from 1 species
CGGGGUUGGGUGGGGAGAGAGGAGAUAUGUAUAUACAUAUAUAGAGAGAGAGAGAGAGAAAGAGAGAGAAAACGAACCACAUUCCUGGCGGAGAAUUACUUCAGUAACUCUCAAACUGGUCUUCUGAUCCUUCUGCAAUCCAACCCAUGCACUACUGUCAGAUUAUGUCUCUGAAAAAUAAAGGUGUGCAUAUGUCACUCCUGCUCAAGAACGUUUAAUGGCUCCCCAGUACCGAAGAAAUGAAAUUGUAAUUCUCUAACCUACUGUUUAAGAUCCUCUACCAGGCAUGAGAGAGCCAACCACAAAACAUCAUUAAAUCUGGAAAAUCUGAUUGCCCCACAAAUGUCUUUAAGAUCUUGCUCCACUUUAAAGAAUCCGGGACAAAAAAUGAUUGGGA